GACGAACGCUGGCGGCGUGCUUAACACAUGCAAGUCGAACGGAAAGGCCCUGCUUUUGUGGGGUGCUCGAGUGGCGAACGGGUGAGUAACACGUGAGUAACCUGCCCUUGACUUUGGGAUAACUUCAGGAAACUGGGGCUAAUACCGGAUAGGAGCUCCUGCUGCAUGGUGGGGGUUGGAAAGUUUCGGCGGUUGGGGAUGGACGCGCGGCUUAUCAGCUUGUUGGUGGGGUAGUGGCUUACCAAGGCUUUGACGGGUAGCCGGCCUGAGAGGGUGACCGGCCACAUUGGGACUGAGAUACGGCCCAGACUCCUACGGGAGGCAGCAGUGGGGAAUAUUGCACAAUGGGCGGAAGCCUGAUGCAGCAACGCCGCGUGCGGGAUGACGGCCUUUGGGUUGUAAACCGCUUUCGCCUGUGACGAAGCGUGAGUGACGGUAAUGGGUAAAGAAGCACCGGCUAACUACGUG
rnacentral:rRNA from 1 species